rnacentral:rRNA from 1 species
AAAAGGUACUCCGGGGAUAACAGGCUGAUACCGCCCAAGAGUUCAUAUCGACGGCGGUGUUUGGCACCUCGAUGUCGGCUCAUCACAUCCUGGGGCUGAAGUAGGUCCCAAGGGUAUGGCUGUUCGCCAUUUAAAGUGGUACGCGAGCUGGGUUUAGAACGUCGUGAGACAGUUCGGUCCCUAUCUGCCGUGGGCGCUGGAGAACUGAGGGGGGCUGCUCCUAGUACGAGAGGACCGGAGUGGACGCAUCACUGGUGUUCGGGUUGUCAUGCCAAUGGCACUGCCCGGUAGCUAAAUGCGGAAGAGAUAAGUGCUGAAAGCAUCUAAGCACGAAACUUGCCCCGAG